UCUAUCUAUCCCACGGCUUCAAACCGACCGCACCUACGAACCAACAUUCAGAUUUAUAUUGUUCAUUCUUUUCUCAAUCGACCGCUAAAAUUGCGAACACCUGAUCCAUUUUAUUUGACAAGCGCAUUUCUACUCUCCAGCUUCCCGGAACUACCUUGAACCGCCUAUAUGACCAUUGUAUAUCACGUUAUCAUUCUUGUCCUGGGCUUUCUAGGCCAUGGGGUGUACAGCCACAUGCAAAUGCUGAACCCGCUCCCAAUUCGAAGCCCCCUAAAUCCUGCUAAUUCUGCCAAUAUGGAUUUCAAUUAUAAAGACCCACUAUGGAAGAACGGAUCGAAUUAUCCUUGCAAAGGAUACUUAACAGAUUCUUUCAAGGCAACUGCAGAGUACAAAGCUGGGAAUGAGUACGAAAUGACAAUAGAUCAAAAUAUAGCAACCCAUGGCGGUGGUUCAUGCC
rnacentral:sRNA from 2 species